rnacentral:lncRNA from 10 species
AAUACACGCGUAUCUUCACCAUGAAGGGGCUGGCACUCCAGAGAUGAGGAACAGCCCUGUCCUCAGGGAACCCAGAAGAGUCAACCAGGGAUCCCGGGGCUGCCUGGCCAAUGCUCUGACAAGAUGAAAGGUUCUUGGAAGAGGUGAAACCUGUGCUAACUCCAAGGGCCCACAGGAGUCAGGCAGGAAUGCAAGAGGGUGAUCAUGUGGAACCCGGAUGGGAUGCUCAGCUGGCGACAGAAGGCUUGAAGACAAGCAAUUAGAGUCCCGUUACAGAGUCCUGGUAAUUUCUCCAUGUCACAAUCGAUUCCUCUUGUUCAUGCUAAUUUCCUCUGCCACUAGAAAUUUUUAUUUCUCUAGCUUUCAGUCAAGAUGUGUGCAAAAGCGGGAGAUUGAUAUGCUGGGAAGGACGGUGGAAAACGUC